rnacentral:rRNA from 1 species
UCCGUAGGCGGGCAAUUAAGUCAGAGGUGAAAUCCCACAGCUCAACUGUGGAACUGCCUUUGAUACUGGUUGUCUUGAGUUAUAGUGAAGUAGAUAGAAUAUGUAGUGUAGCGGUGAAAUGCAUAGAUAUUACAUAGAAUACCGAUUGCGAAGGCAGUCUACUAACUGUAUACUGACGCUAAUGGACGAAAGCGUGGGGAGCGAACAGGAUUAGAUACCCUGGUAGCC